rnacentral:rRNA from 1 species
GAUGAACCCAGAUGGGAUUAGCUAGUAGGCGGGGUAACGGCCCACCUAGGCGACGAUCCCUAGCUGGUCUGAGAGGAUGACCAGCCACACUGGAACUGAGACACGGUCCAGACUCCUACGGGAGGCAGCAGUGGGGAAUAUUGCACAAUGGGCGCAAGCCUGAUGCAGCCAUGCCGCGUGUAUGAAGAAGGCCUUCGGGUUGUAAAGUACUUUCAGCGGGGAGGAAGGCGAUGUGGUUAAUAACCGCGUCGAUUGACGUUACCCGCAGAAGAAGCACCGGCUAACUCCGUGCCAGCAGCCGCGGUAAUACGGAGGGUGCAAGCGUUAAUCGGAAUUACUGGGCGUAAAGCGCACGCAGGCGGUCUGUUAAGUCAGAUGUGAAAUCCCCGGGCUUAACCUGGGAACUGCAUUUGAAACUGGCAGGCUUGAGUCUCGUAGAGGGGGGUAGAAUUCCAGGUGUAGCGGUGAAAUGCGUAGAGAUCUGGAGGAAUACCGGUGGCGAAGGCGGCCCCCUGGACGAAGACUGACGCUCAGGUGCGAAAGCGUGGGGAGCAAACAGGAUUAGAU